AGCUUAUUAAGAUGCCAGUGGAAGAAAUGAUAUAUCCUGACCACAUUCCCGGGGUUCCUGGACACAAAAGGAUUGUGAAGAAACCUCAUCCAGACUGCUGCAGAAGUGGGAUGUGUUCUUCAAACCAAAUGUCAUCAAGGAGGCUAAGCGUUUCACUUCUCCACCUGAGUUGAGAAGUUUGGUGCAGUCAGCGGAAAGUCUUCAAAGCGAUGACCUCACUAACACAUCUAGCUAUGACCAAGAAAUGGCCUCGCUGUUACUUCUCUUACAUCUUCUUCCACCGCAGGAGGACAGAAGUCUCCAAAAAUCAGUGCAAGUGAUGCAGAUGAGAGACUUGUUGUCAUUCAUAAGUCAUGCUGCAGUUUAGAGGAGCAUCUUCGGGGACAAUGGGGUCUGCAGCCAUACCUCCUUGCUGUUGGGCAUCAGAAAAGAAAGAUUGACAGCUUCUACAUCGUCAUGGAUAAGUGCCUCAUCCCAUGCCAGACAAACAGUUCUCUUGGAACAUUUGAUGAGCUAUUCAAAGCACAUUUUGUGUUUAAUUUCUCUUAUGAUGCUGCAUUGAUGAAUUUCUACACAUUUCUGCAGACAACAGUGUAUAACAUUGACGUGGGCAAAAUGAAGGAAUCGCUCAGAGUUAGGGACGUGAGAGCAAGGCUGCUAAACCAGUCCGUUGAGCUCUCUUGUGAGUAAGUCAGGCUAAAAAAUGUUGACCUGUUUUUAUGUGUCAAAAACUGUAUCCAAGCGGAAACAUUUGAUCAUCAUCAUGCUUUCAAAAUUGUUCAAAGUGAAGAAAGGCAUUUAGUAAAAAUCCCUGAACUUAAAUUUCUUUUGAUAUUCAAAACUCUUAUGGCAUUUCUAAUGAAUGUUUGAUCAUUGUACCACAAUUUAAAAUGUUGGGAACACAGCUGCAAAAAUAAAGUGUUCAA